rnacentral:rRNA from 1 species
CUGGUUGAUCCUGCCGGCGGGCACCGCUAUCGGAGUUGGAUUAAGCCAUGCGAGUCGAGGGCACCCCGCAAGGGGAGACCCGGCGCACGGCUCAGUAACACGCGGAUAAUCUACCCUGUGGUGGGGGAUAACCUCGGGAAACUGAGGAUAAUACCCCAUAGCAACCCUAUGCUGGAAUGCUUGGGUUGCGAAAGCUCCGGCGCCACAGGAUGAGUCUGCGGCCUAUCAGGUUGUAGUGGGUGUAACGGACCCACUAGCCUACGACGGGUACGGGCUUUGAGAGAAGGAGCCCGGAGAUGGAUUCUGAGACACGAAUCCAGGCCCUACGGGGCGCAGCAGGCGCGAAACUUUCACAAUGCCGGAAACGGCGAUGAGGCAACUCCGAGUGCCAACGCUCUGCGUUGGCUGUUCCCCUGCCUAAAAAGCAGGGGGAGUAAGGGCCGGGUAAGACGGGUGCCAGCCGCCGCGGUAAUACCCGCGGCCCGAGUGGUGCUCGUUAUUAUUGAGCCUAAAGAGUCCGUAGCCGGCCUGAUAAAUCCUUGGGUAAAUCGGGCAGCUUAACUGUCCGAAGUCCGAGGAGACUGUCAGGCUUGGGAUCGGGAGAGGCGAAAGGUACUCCCGGGGUAGGGGUAAAAUCCUGUAAUCCUGGGGGGACCACCAGUGGCGAAGGCGUUUCGCUAGAACGAAUCCGACGGUGAGGGACGAAGCCCUGGGGCGCAAACGGGAUUAGAUACCCCGGUAGUCCAGGGUGUAAACGCUGCGGACUUGGUGUUGGGUGUCCCAUGAGGACAUCCAGUGCCGGAGAGAAGUUGUUAAGUCCGCCGCUUGGGGAGUACAGGCGCAAGCCCGAAACUUAAAGGAAUUGGCGGGGGAGCACCGCAACGGGAGUAGCGUACGGUUUAAUUGGAUUCAACGCCGAAAAACUCACCAGGGCGACGGACCGCAUAAAGGUCAGGCUGACGACCUUACCUGAUUGUCCGAGAGGUGGUGCAUGGCCGUCGUCAGUUCGUACCGUAGGGCGUUCUGUUAAGUCAGAUAACGAACGAGACCCUCGCCCUUAAUUGCUACUCUUCCUUCCGGGAAAGAGGCACAUUAAGGGGACCGCUGGCGCUAAGCCAGAGGAAGGAGAGGUCUACGGUAGGUCCGUAUGCCCCGAAUCCCCUGGGCAACACGCGCGCUACAAAGGUCGGGACAAUGGGAUUCAAACCCGAGAGGGGGAGGUAAUCCCGAAACCCGAUCGUAGUUUGGAUUGAGGGCUGUAACUCGCCCUCAUGAAAAUGGAUUCCGUAGUAAUCGCGGGUCAACAUCCCGCGGUGAAUAUGCCCCUGCUCCUUGUACACACCGCCCG